rnacentral:rRNA from 1 species
GGUGACUAUAGCGGUGGGGAUCACCUCUUCCCAUUCCGAACAGAGCAGUUAAGCCCACCAGCGCUGAUGGUACUUGGAUAACACCUGGGAGAGUAAGUCGUUGCCU